rnacentral:lncRNA from 1 species
AUGAUAAAGUCGACUUACGCUUCCAUUCUUGCUCUGAUUCUUUGGAUGAUGAUUCGUAAGAAAAGAUCCGGUGUCAGAAGAGCGACUGAUGACUCUGUGGAGCAGACAGAUGAUGUGACUUAUACUGAAGUUACUGCGUUCAGUAAAAACAGAGCCAAAAAGAACAAGGUGAGCAAACACUUCUUGUCCUCUCAUCGAUGUGCACCUUCUCUCAGUGUGACCUGUAUCUCUUUUAUUCUGAUAUAAAUGUGUGCUGAGUUGAGCUCAAACCUCAUGCUGUAAUAACUGUGGGUUGAAACAGUCACUGUGAUGUUGAUUCAGGUUCACUGUGAUGAUAAAGUGACUUACGCUUCCAUCGGAGGAGCAAAAGCUGGAGCUCAGGAAGACUGCAGUCAACUUUACUAUCUUAGAUCAUUCUCAUUAGAUCAUUGAGUGUUUAAUUAACUGUCAGCUUGCACUAAUUAUGAGAACAGGCAAAGCUUCUGUGUAUGAUGAUGUAAGUGUUCAUCACAAUAUGACAGGAAUGAUCAUUUGGUGUUUGAACCAUUUGAACAGCUGCUAUCAGCAAUGCUUGUAAAAUUAUAUUUUAUCUGUCAGUAAUAAAAUAGCCUGUGUCAAACCUGUAUAUUUAUGGUAAAUAUUUUUCAUUACAAAUAUUUUUUUAUAUUCGUGACACAGAAGUCUCUGACUGUAUGGGCUCAAACAUUUACAGAGACACAUGUGUGCAGAAUGUUGCUGUGAACCGCAAUCAUCAUCGGUUUUCAUGAGGAAUAUGAUUCUGUGUCAGUAGUUUUUUAAUGCUCAAGCUACUGCAUCAGCAGGCUCUUUUAAAAUAUUUCUGUGCUUGUACUUGUGCUUGUGUGGAUUUGUGACUGAUGCAGAGGUGCUCAGAAAUGCUUUAUUUAACAGAGCUGUAGAGGAACUGAGAGACCGCGGUCAGUUUAGCAGAAACAGCGAUAAUGAUUAGGGACAGGAAUCAUAACUUCUUUAAUGGUUCCAUUACUGAUUAUUUGUAGUUCAGUUUAAUUUAAUUUUAAGGAAGUAUUUAAUUAAAUUUCAUUGCCAAAUAAUGAACAUUUUGAUGAUAAAUAAAUUUUUCAUUACAAUUUUUUCAAAAGGUGUUUACACAGGCUUUUAAGUGGCACCAUAAAUGCAGCUACACUGUUUUAAGUCUCACAUUUAGUUUUAGCUCUAUGUGUUCGAUAAACUAGAACGUAUCAGUUCAUAAGAGUCAUUUGAUUGGGAAUCAAGAUGGGGAGAGGAGGUGAAGGCCCUAGAUAAUAACUCAUUUAGGGGGGCAAGGUCCGCAAAUGCCCCUCCCUGGCACCAUACCUGCCAUUUAUUUACUGGUACUGUGGUUCUCAACCAGGGGUCCGGGGCCCACUGGGGGGGUUACAUCCAAGGGGGACUCAAUCUGACUUAAAAUGACUGAAAUAAGACAAAACAGCUAUUAAAAUAAGCUAAAACUACAAAUUAAAAAAAAUAUAUAUAUAUUUCUUAUUUUAAAGCUGCAGUCGGUAACUUCUGGGGCUCGCGUCUGGCGGAAGAACAUUGUAGCCGGAGCUACUUCUCUCUGUUUACAUCUAUAAUAGUCCAAAUAUAAACACUUAUUAUAGGUGUACCGUAGUGAUUCAGGAUAAGACAAAAACACGGUUUGGAAAAUGGAUUCAUGAUGUACUCUCUCAUUAUAUAUGUUUUUUACAUUUUCAACACAAAACAACACUGUGGCACAGCCCUG